rnacentral:rRNA from 1 species
AUUGAACGCUGGCGGCAGGCCUAAUACAUGCAAGUCGAACGAGUGGCGGACGGGUGAGUAAUGUCUGGGAACCUGCCUGAUGGAGGGGGAUAACUACUGGAAACGGUAGCUACUACCGCAUACCAUCAUUUCUGCCCAGAGGGGAUUAGCUUUUUGGUGUGGUAACGGCUCAUCAAGGCGACGAUCCCUAGCUGGUCUGAGAGGGUGACCGGCCACACUGGAACGGAGACACGGUCCAGACUCCUACGGGAGUCAGCAGUGGGGAAUAUUGCACAAUGGGCGAAAGCCUGAUGCAGCCAUGCCGCGUGUAUGAAGAAGGCCUUCGGGUUGUAAAGUACUUUCGGCGGGGAGGCGUUACCCGCAGAAGAAGCACCGGCUAACUCCGUGCCAGCAGCCGCGGUAAUAC